UUGCUUAAUCCAGCCUAUCCGGCCUGGGAGCACUCUCUAGUGAUAUACAUGGGGAAAUUGCCACCAGGUCAGAUGGGUUUGGUUGGCUCACUGCU
rnacentral:pre_miRNA from 1 species